AUCCUUCGCUGAUGAGCAGCUUCUGACUUUUGUUCUUCUGAGUUUGAUGAAGCCAGAUGCCAUUCCUGAGAAGGGAA
rnacentral:snoRNA from 1 species